AGAGUUUGAUUCUGGCUCAGAACGAACGCUGGCAGCGUGGAUUAGGCAUGCAAGUCGAACGGGAUCGGUAAUCGUAGCAAUACGAUUGCCGUGAGAGUGGCGGAAGGGCGAGUAAGACAUGGGUAAUUUGCCCUCAAGCUAGGGAUAACCCCGCGAAAGUGGAGCUAAUACCGAAUGCGGCUCCCCGAGGCAUCUCGGGGCGUCCAAAGGUGGGGAUCUCGCGCAAGCGAGACCUGCCGCUUGAGGAUGAGCCCGUGUGCCAUCAGCUUGUUGGUGAGGUAACGGCUUACCAAGGCUUACGGCUAGCUGGUCUGAGAGGACGACCAGCCGCACUGGGACUGAGACACUGCCCAGACUCCUACGGGAGGCUGCAGUCGAGAAUCAUUCGCAAUGGUCGAAAGCCUGACGAUGCGACGCUGCGUGGAGGACGAAGGCCCUCGGGUCGUAAACUCCUGUCAUGCGGGAAAAAGGUGUCCGGUGUAAAUAGCGCCGGACCUCGAUGGUACCGCAAGAGGAAGCCACGGCCAACUCUGUGCCAGCAGCCGCGGUAAGACAGAGGUGGCGAGCGUUGUUCGGAUUUACUGGGCGUAAAGAGUGCGUAGGCGGUACCGUGUGUCGAGUGUGAAAUCCCUGGGCUCAACCCAGGAAGUGCGCUCGAAACUGCGGUCCUUGAGCACAGGAAGGGAGAGCGGAAUUCACGGUGUAGCGGUGAUAUGCGUUGAUAUCGUGAAGAACACCGGUGGCGAAGGCGGCUCUCUGGAAUGUUGCUGACGCUGAGGCACGAAAGUUGGGGGAGCAAACAGGAUUAGAUACCCUGGUAGUCCCAACCGUAAACGGUGCGCACUGGGCGUGGGGAGAUUUCACCCUCUCCGUGCCGCAGCUAACGCGUUAAGUGCGCCGCCUGGGGAGUACGGCCGCAAGGCUGAAACUCAAAGAAAUUGACGGGGGCCCGCACAAGCGGAGGAGCAUGUGGCUUAAUUCGAUGCAACGCGAAGAACCUUACCUGGGUUUGACAUGCAGCUGCACGUCCCAUGAAAGUGGGAUUCCUUCGAGGGUGCUGCACAGGUGCUGCAUGGCUGUCGUCAGUUCGUGCCGUGAGGUGUUUGGUUAAGUCCAGCAACGAACGCAACCCCUGUGCUUAGUUGCCAUCGGGUAAUGCCGGUAACUCUAAGCAGACUGCCUGUAUACACAGGAGGAAGGUGGGGACGACGUCAAGUCAGUAUGGCCCUUACACCCAGGGCUGCACACGUGCUACAAUGGUCGGUACAAUGGGACGCAAGACCGCGAGGUGGAGCAAAUCCCCAGAGCCGACCUCAGUUCAGAUUGCAGUCUGAAACUCGACUGCAUGAAGUUGGAUUCGCUAGUAACGGCGCAUCAGCUACGGCGCCGUGAAUACGUUCCCGGGCCUUGUACACACCGCCCGUCACAUCAUGAAAGCCGUCUGCACCCAAAGCCGCCGUUUCAACCCGCAAGGGAGAUAGGCGUCCAAGGUGUGGGUGGUGAUUGGGAUGAAGUCGAAACAAGGUA
rnacentral:rRNA from 1 species